rnacentral:rRNA from 1 species
GUGCCAGCAGCCGCGGUAAUACGUAGGGUCCGAGCGUUGUCCGGAUUCAUUGGGCGUAAAGAGCUCGUAGGCGGCUCAGUAAGUCGGAUGUGAAAACUCAGGGCUCAACCCGGAGACGCCAUCCGAUACUGCUGUGGCUUGAGUCUGGUAGGGGAACACGGAAUACCUGGUGUAGCGGUGAAAUGCGCAGAUAUCAGGUGGAACACCGAUGGCGAAGGCAGUGUUCUGGGCCAGUACUGACGCUGAGGAGCGAAAGCGUGGGGAGCAAACAGGAUUAGAAACCCCCGUAGUCC